AAAGCGUAAUAGCUCACUGGUCGAGUCGGCCUGCGCGGAAGAUGUAACGGGGCUAAACCAUGCACCGAAGCUGCGGCAGCGACGCUCAGGCGUUGUUGGGUAGGGGAGCGUUCUGUAAGCCUGUGAAGGUGGCCUGUGAGGGUUGCUGGAGGUAUCAGAAGUGCGAAUGCUGACAUAAGUAACGAUAAAGCGGGUGAAAAGCCCGCUCGCCGGAAGACCAAGGGUUCCUGUCCAACGUUAAUCGGGGCAGGGUGAGUCGACCCCUAAGGCGAGGCCGAAAGGCGUAGUCGAUGGGAAACGGGUUAAUAUUCCCGUACUUGGUGUUACUGCGAAGGGGGGACGGAGAAGGCUAUGUUGGCCGGGCGACGGUUGUCCCGGUUUAAGCGUGUAGGUGUGUGUUCCAGGUAAAUCCGGUUCACUUUAACACUGAGGCGUGACGACGAGGCACUACGGUGCUGAAGCAACAAAUGCCCUGCUUCCAGGAAAAGCCUCUAAGCAUCAGGUAACAUCAAAUCGUACCCCAAACCGACACAGGUGGUCAGGUAGAGAAUACCAAGGCGCUUGAGAGAACUCGGGUGAAGGAACUAGGCAAAAUGGUGCCGUAACUUCGGGAGAAGGCACGCUGACACGUAGGUGAAGUGAUUUACUCAUGGAGCUGAAGUCAGUCGAAGAUACCAGCUGGCUGCAACUGUUUAUUAAAAACACAGCACUGUGCAAACACGAAAGUGGACGUAUACGGUGUGACGCCUGCCCGGUGCCGGAAGGUUAAUUGAUGGGGUCAGCGCAAGCGAAGCUCCUGAUCGAAGCCCCGGUAAACGGCGGCCGUAACUAUAACGGUCCUAAGGUAGCGAAAUUCCUUGUCGGGUAAGUUCCGACCUGCACGAAUGGCGUAAUGAUGGCCAGGCUGUCUCCACCCGAGACUCAGUGAAAUUGAACUCGCUGUGAAGAUGCAGUGUACCCGCGGCAAGACGGAAAGACCCCGUGAACCUUUACUAUAGCUUGACACUGAACAUUGAGCCUUGAUGUGUAGGAUAGGUGGGAGGCUUUGAAGCGUGGACGCCAGUCUGCGUGGAGCCGACCUUGAAAUACCACCCUUUAAUGUUUGAUGUUCUAACGUGGACCCGUUACCCGGGUUGCGGACAGUGUCUGGUGGGUAGUUUGACUGGGGCGGUCUCCUCCUAAAGAGUAACGGAGGAGCACGAAGGUUGGCUAAUCCUGGUCGGACAUCAGGAGGUUAGUGCAAUGGCAUAAGCCAGCUUGACUGCGAGCGUGACGGCGCGAGCAGGUGCGAAAGCAGGUCAUAGUGAUCCGGUGGUUCUGAAUGGAAGGGCCAUCGCUCAACGGAUAAAAGGUACUCCGGGGAUAACAGGCUGAUACCGCCCAAGAGUUCAUAUCGACGGCGGUGUUUGGCACCUCGAUGUCGGCUCAUCACAUCCUGGGGCUGAAGUAGGUCCCAAGGGUAUGGCUGUUCGCCAUUUAAAGUGGUACGCGAGCUGGGUUUAGAACGUCGUGAGACAGUUCGGUCCCUAUCUGCCGUGGGCGCUGGAGAACUGAGGGGGGCUGCUCCUAGUACGAGAGGACCGGAGUGGACGCAUCACUGGUGUUCGGGUUGUCAUGCCAAUGGCACUGCCCGGUAGCUAAAUGCGGAAGAGAUAAGUGCUGAAAGCAUCUAAGCACGAAACUUGCCCCGA
rnacentral:rRNA from 1 species